CAAGACGACUAAACAACCGGGAGGGACCUUGGUCUUAUCGUUAUCUCGAGGGGGGGCAGCCACCCUUAUAACUGGCUUUCUUCAUGGUUCUCUAAAAAUUAAGGCUUUCCUUGCGAGACGAGAAUCUUCACCAUCUGAAUCACGAAUGAGGACUCACUCGAGCUGCAUAUGGUGCUGCUGGAACUGGAGGAUGUGGAGAAACAGAUCCGUGACCUACUCAACAAGCAGGCCCAGCUGCUGGAGCGAAGAACCGCGCUGGAAACAUCUUGUGCUUCUGCCUACACAUCCAAGGUAAGCACGCAGUGUGGUAUUACCACUCCCAGCCCCUCUACGCCUUGUGUUUCUCUGUGCAGGGACCGUGCACCCAAGACUUUUCCAGCCGAGGUCUCAGUCACACCGGCGCCGACACACCGCGGACCUUGGGUGCACCAGCAGCGAAAGGCGAGAGCCAUACCCCGGGCGAGGACCUCUCCAACCAGGAACUACUUCGCCCCUCUCCGUCAGACCAGACCAAACACUGUGAUCAUCGGGGACUCCAUUGUGCGAAACGUCCGCAUCGCUUCAACAAAGGUCUCCCUUCAAAUUUGAAAAGAACCCAAGGUU
ensembl:lncRNA